rnacentral:rRNA from 1 species
CUUAACACAUGCAAGUCGAGCGGUAGCACAGGGGAGCUUGCUCCCCGGGUGACGAGCGGCGGACGGGUGAGUAAUGUCUGGGAAACUGCCUGAUGGAGGGGGAUAACUACUGGAAACGGUAGCUAAUACCGCAUAACGUCGCAAGACCAAAGAGGGGGACCUUCGGGCCUCUUGCCAUCAGAUGUGCCCAGAUGGGAUUAGCUAGUAGGUGGGGUAACGGCUCACCUAGGCGACGAUCCCUAGCUGGUCUGAGAGGAUGACCAGCCACACUGGAACUGAGACACGGUCCAGACUCCUACGGGAGGCAGCAGUGGGGAAUAUUGCACAAUGGGCGCAAGCCUGAUGCAGCCAUGCCGCGUGUAUGAAGAAGGCCUUCGGGUUGUAAAGCACUUUCAGCGAGGAGGAAGGUGGUGAACUUAAUACGUUCAUCAAUUGACGUUACUCGCAGAAGAAGCACCGGCUAACUCCGUGCCAGCAGCCGCGGUAAUACGGAGGGUGCAAGCGUUAAUCGGAAUUACUGGGC